UCCCUGGUGGUCCAGUGGCUAAGACUCUGUGCUUCCAAUACAGGGGCCUGGGGUUCGGUCCCUGGUCAGGGAA
rnacentral:tRNA from 1 species